UGGUGCAGGGGUCAAAGGAGCAAUCCGGUUAAAGAUGGGCUCGCGUCCGAUUAGCUGGUUGGUGAGACAACAGCCCACCAAGGCGACGAUCGGUAGCCGACCUGAGAGGGUGAUCGGCCACAUUGGAACUGAGAUACGGUCCAGACUCCUACGGGAGGCAGCAGUGGGGAAUAUUGGGCAAUGGGCGAAAGCCUGACCCAGCAACGCCGCGUGAGGGAAGAAGGGUUUCGGCUCGUAAACCUCUGUCCUAUGGGACGAAGGAAGUGACGGUACCAUAGGAGGAAGCCCCGGCUAACUACGUGCCAGCAGCCGCGGUAAUACGUAGGGGGCGAGCGUUGUCCGGAAUGAUUGGGCGUAAAGGGCGCGUAGGCGGCCUGAUAAGUCUGGAGUGAAAGUCCUGCUUUCAAGGUGGGAAUUGCUUUGGAUACUGUCGGGCUGGAGUACAGGAGAGGAAAGCGGAAUUACCAGUGUAGCGGUGAAAUGCGUAGAGAUUGGUAGGAACACCAGUGGCGAAGGCGGCUUUCUGGACUGAAACUGACGCUGAGGCGCGAAAGCGUGGGGAGCAAACAGGAUUAGAUAC
rnacentral:rRNA from 1 species